UGAAAUUUGUCCCACGCAAUCAGCUGGCAAAUUUCACAAGCACUUUCAGUUGAUUGCGAAGUAACUGUGCUUUGGUCGACAAUAUUAAGCUACAUUCGGCUAUUGUUUGACGUUGUGCAUCGCGUGAAAUGCGUCAGGAGGUGGAAAAUACAAGCAACAGAACCGCUGCCGCAAAAAGUGGGGUAAACAGCCCUUUCCUGUGGCUACCCCAUCUCCACCUGAUACCGCCAAAAGGACCAAUAGCACAGACAACUGGAUGCUGGAAAGAGUGAAGACACUAUAAAUCUACCUACAGAGUCCAUAAGGAGAGGCUGAGGACAUCAGGGACAGCAAGGUGUGCUGAGGAGACUCCAGACCUGUCUCUGGCCGGCUCUCUGACUGACUAUCCUCCCUGGCUGUGACCAAGAUGCUCCUCCUCCAGUCACGCUUCAACUCCCUUCAUGUUGAUCAUUGAUUUACAUUUGUUUUCUUGUAUGUGUUGCUGCAAUUCAUCUUUAAGCUUCCAUAGUACACAUCAAAUGAAACUAAACUAACAUUGCUGUUUAAAGGUUUAUAACCCUGGAUCGAAUCCAGGCUGUAUCACAUCUGGCCGUAAUUGGGAGUCCCAUAGGGUGUCGCACAAUUGGUCCAGCGUCGUCCAGGUUUGGCCGGGGUAGGCAGUCAUUGUAAAUAAGAAUAUGUUCUUAACUGACUUGCCCAGUUACCUUAGUCAUCUGUGCUUUCUGGGAGAAGUUGGUGGCUAUGUAGAUGGAUAGAAGCAGGCAGCCAGUACCGCGAUCACAAACAGAUUCAGGAUCAGUCGGAUCACGUAGAUCCUACACUUCUCCUUCCGUGUCCUGUCUGCCAUCUUCUGCUUGAUGCGCUCCUCUUCCAGAUCAGUCUGUUGACAUAGAAAGGACAGAGGAAUGGAUAUAGGAUCUCCAUUAUAUGCAGUUAUAAGCACUUAUACUUUAUAUAUUAAUAAACAAAAUAAACACAGCUUCUUCUGAAAGGAGUUGUUGAAAAGCGAGUGGUAAACAGAAGUGAACCAAUACAGUUCUUUUACAUUGUAUGGCUGUAACUGGAAUGUGUGAACUAAGGAAUUCAUUUCACUUUGUCAAUAGUGUUGAAUCACAU